rnacentral:SRP_RNA from 1 species
CCGUGCUAGAUGGGGAAUUAGCGGUAUCCUGUAACCUGCAAUCCGCUGUAGCAGGGUUGAUGUUAUCUCUAGGUCAACAUGUUACCUAAUUUAUAUAUCCUGGUGGUAUUGAAAUUACAACCUGUUGUGAUGAGCUUUUGGUGAACCCCGUCAGGCCUGGAAAGGAGCAGCGGUAAGUUAAAACGCUCAUGUGCAUUCAGAUUAUUGUAAUUGAGCUAUUUUGGCUAUGUAUUUAUGUAUUCAAGGUGACCGAAAGAUAGCGCACGG